UUGGCUAAUGUGUCUCGGCUAAAGUGUCUUGGCUAAUGUGUCUCGGCUAAGGUGUCUUGGCUAAUGUGUCUCGGCUAAGGUGUCUUGGCUAAGGUGUCUUGGCUAAGGUGUCGUGGCUAAGGUGUCUUGGCUAAGGUGUCUUGGCUAAUGUGUCUCGGCUAAAGUGUCUUGGCUAAGGUGUCUUGGCUAAGGUGUCUUGGCUAAAGUGUCUUGGCUAAUGUGUCUCGGCUAAGGUGUCUUGGCUAAGGUGUCUUGGCUAAGGUGUCUUGGCUAAGGUGACUUGGCUAAUGUGUCUUGGCUAAGGUGUCUUGGCUAAGGUGUCUUGGCUAAUGUGUCUUGGCUUAUGUGUCUUGGCUAAGGUGUCUUGGCUAAGGUGUCUUGGCUAAGGUGUCUUGGCUAAGGUGUCUUGGCUAAUGUGUCAUGGCUAAGGUGUCUUGGCUAAGGUGUAUUGGCUAAGGUGUCUUGGCUAAUGUGUCUUGGCUAAGGUGUCUUGGCUAAGGUGUCUUGGCUAAUGUCUCUUGGCUAAGGUGUCUUGGCUAAUGUGUCUUGGCUAAGGUGUCUUGGCUAAUGUGUCUUGGCUAAGGUGUCUUGGCUAAUGUGUCUUGGCUAAUGUGUCUCGGCUAAUGUGUCUUGGCUAAUGUGUCUUGGCUAAUGUGUCUUGGCCAAAGUGUCUUGGCUAAUGUGUCUUGGCUAAUGUGUCUUGGCUAAUGUGUCUCGGCUUAUGUGUCUUGGCUAAUGUGUCUUGGCUAAUGUGUCUUGGCUAAUGUGUCUUGGCUUAGGUGUCUUGGCUAAUGUGUCUUGGUUAAGGUGUCUUGGCUAAGGUGUCUUGGCUAAUGUGUCUUGGCUAAGGUGUCUUGGCUAAGGUGUCUUGGCUAAGGUGUCUUGGCUAAUGUGUCUUGGCUAGUGUGUCUUGGCUAAUGUGUCUUGGCUAAGGUGUCUUGGCUAAGGUGUCUUGGCUAAGGUGUCUUGGCUAAGGUGUCUUGGCUAAUGUGUCUUGGUUAAGGUGUCUUGGCUAAGGUGUCUUGGCUAAUGUGUCUUGGCUAAGGUGUCUUGGCUAAGGUGUCUUGGCUAAGGUGUCUUGGCUAAUGUGUCUUGGCUAGUGUGUCUUGGCUAAUGUGUCUUGGCUAAGGUGUCUUGGCUAAGGUGUCUUGGCUAAGGUGUCUUGGCUAAGGUGUCUUGGCUAAUG